rnacentral:lncRNA from 1 species
UGUGCAAUAUUCUGUGUGCACCAUGUGAGUUGUCAUCUGGCACUCUUCUUUUCCUGAUCUGGCUGCAUAACUGGCUUUUUGGGUUAUUUCGUGGUUGGUUUUAUAAUAUCUAUCUAUUAUAGAAAGGUAAGGAGGUCAAGCAUUAGGUUGUAGAUUAGGAGGUAGUCGAGCUUUUUUCUACUUCGAACAGGGAGUGAGGCUAUUUUGAUAGGGUUGAUCUUAGACGGCUAGUGGUUAACGUUGUGUUCACAUUAUCCUUUCGUUUUUUAUAGCACCGGGCCUUAUUUAUUGGUUAUUUUUAUUGCAUGUAAUUUAUUUUUGUUAUUAUUUCUAUGGUUUCUGUUGACGGUACUAAUAUAUUGUCUCUUAUCGUCUUUUCCAUUUUCUUGAGCUGAGGGUCUAUCGGAAACAAACUCUCUGCCCCAUCAGUGUAGGGGUAAGGUCUGCAUACACACUAUCCUCUUCAGACCCCACUUAUGGGAUUUUACUGGGUCGUUGUUGUUGUUGUUGUUGUAGUACUAUAUUGUUUCUCCCGAAUGACAUUUUUAUUCUUCUGCAGAUUAAAGCUAUUCCAGAAAUAUUUAUUGGCAGUUCUACUGCAUCCCAUUUAAUGCUUUGUCAAGUCAAUGUGACAACUAAAUAGUUAAUAGAUCUUCAAAAGCUGGUUGAUCUUACUUUAGUUCCUUCCACUUUCCUGCAUAGAGACAAGUGUUUGACACUCACUUUUGUUCAUCUUAUUUAUUAUUUCUAUAAUGUGCGAGUAC